rnacentral:rRNA from 1 species
AUGAACGCUAGCGGCAGGCUUAAUACAUGCAAGUCGAGGGGCAGCAUGGGUAGCAAUACCUGAUGGCGACCGGCAAACGGGUGAGGAACACGUACGCAACUUCCCUAAAACUGGUGAAUAGCCCUCCGAAAGGAGGAUUAAUACACCGUAAGAUAACGAGAUGGCAUCAUUUUGUUAUUAUAGCUCCGGCGGUUUUAUGAUGGGCGUGCGCCUGAUUAGGUAGUUGGUAAGGUAACGGCUUACCAAGCCUACGAUCAGUAACUGGUGUGAGAGCACGACCAGUCACACGGGCACUGAGACACGGGCCCGACUCCUACGGGAGGCAGCAGUAAGGAAUAUUGGUCAAUGGACGAAAGUCUGAACCAGCCAUGCCGCGUGAAGGAUGAAGGUCCUCUGGAUUGUAAACUUCUUUUAUCUGGGACGAAAAAAGGCCAUUCUUGGCCACUUGACGGUACCAGAGGAAUAAGCACCGGCUAACUCCGGGC